CUGAAGUGCUGUUUCUCUUGCUUCGGCAAGAGGAAACGAAAGCGGGCAGAUCAUUCCACCCCGGAAUCUGUCAUGGAGGAGAUCCCAGAGCCGCAAAUGGAGCCGGCGAUAG